AAAAAUAUUUGGGAUUUUUCAAUUACUAUUUAAAUAUUAUUUAAAUGCUUGUCAUGUGUAUCUAAAGCAACCAAUAGAGAUAAUAACUAAAAGCUUCUUAAAUUUUCUGACAUUUAAGAGUGCACAUAAUGCAGAGGCUUUAUGGAAUGCUGAUAAAUUUCCUUGACCUACUGCUGAAAUUUGAAUAAACAUAUCAUUAUGGACUUUAAAAUGGGGCUUUUAUGUAUAGUGGCACAUUAGGACCUGAUGUGGUAGGCUUUAAGUAGCCUAUUAGAAAAUCUUUCAGCUUGCAGACAAUUCCAGCUAUUGUGGGGUCACUGAGGGUUAAUGAUUUAUUCCUGAAAUGAAUGGGAGUUUUGUCAUUGAUUUGACAGAAUUGAUAAAGUCAUUUUGCUUUUUCACUUUUUAAUAGUUCUUCUGGAGAGAACAGUGUAUGAACAGAAGUCUCAAUCCUAUUAGAAAUCAAGCUCUGGGACAGUGAAGCCAACAUUUACGUGGAUUUCUGUGCCCCAGAAGCACUGGGAACACAGUGUGAGACAUGUCCUAAUUUUGUUCACAUCUUUUACCUCAGACAAACACAUAGGUGAAUUCAGUGAAAGAAAAAAAAUCAGAGAACAUCAAAUUAUCAAAUUCCUCUAGGAACAGAGGAAAUGCACAAAGCAUUUCCACUUCCAAGCAAGGAAUUAAAACACCUCAGUCCCUUCAAACAGCCAAAGUGUGAUGGCAUCCACUUCCAGGACAUCCAAGGAUCUACAGUUAUCUGCAGAACUGUGGAUGAAAAGAUUUAUCAAUUAAAGCAGAGGACUUGUGGUUCAUCAUUUCUGAAAACAUGGAGUUGAUAAUAAGCCAAUUUUACUUCUGAAAUCAGAAGGGUAAAUAAAUGAUGUGUAUAGAAAACCAUGUGAAAAAGUCUGAUACUGCAAAUGUCUAACCACAUGGUUUCAGCAGGAGGUUAGGAAUAUAAAUAGGAGUUAAGAACCCCUGCUGAACCUGGAGCAUGGUUAACUUUAUAUACUUGAGUAAUAUUUAAAUAAAUGGGAAUUCUAUAUGCUAUUAAGUAAUCUUGUAUUCAAAGGAAUAAAGCUGAGAAUAUUCUUCUCAGUUACGUGCAGUUACUUACACAUCAUUCAAUAUCUUUUUAUUUUAAUGUAAUUUAAAUUCACAUUUCAGUUUUCCUUAUGGUUUGAUGAACUGCAUAAAUGUUUGGUUUUAUUGAUAUUUUGUGAAUAAUGAGCUCCACUGGUACAUUCUUGUAACUGAUAAAAUACCCGCAAGUUCUGCAUUUAGUCAGCACAAUAUAUCUUUUGGAUUCUGGGUUGCUAAAUGUAAGAAAUUUGAUUCUAAUGAUAUUUCAAAAUAAUGAGAUCACUUAGUGUUAUCAAUUAAUUGUAAUAAGUAGAAAUAUUUGUUUGAUGUGUCACACUAUUAUUUUUUUAGUGGUAUAAAUCCAUCUUAUUUUACCAAUUCACUUAUAAUGCUAUGGUCAUAAUAUAUAUAAAUAGUUCCAUAUCAAAAUGCAUAAUUUUAUUAAUCUAUUUUUAUUGCUCAUUUUAAAACUAAUAAAACAUUGUUGCUGUGUUUGACUAUUUUAUAUUCACAACUAUUAAUAUUAUAUUAUAUUUACAUAUAUACUAAUUACAGUCAUAUAUAAACAAAUGCAAAAACACCUAACCUGUUAUAAGAAAGGACAAAAAGCUUCACUGUUUUAAUCCUGAACAGGAAAUAAAGGCUUCAGGCAAACUCAUAUUUCAAAAACUGAAGCCAGCUACCUCUAGACCAGUAUAAUCUCGGGGUGAUAUCUUUGGUGAUGAAUCUCUGGUAACUAAGAAAUAUAUACCAAGCAGAUUUUAUAUAUGAAAAGCAAAAGCAUUGUGAGAGCUACUUUAAUUUUAGAUUUAAUUUGAGAAGGUCGGAUAGAAGAAAAGUUCUUCCAGCUUUAAGGCUGCUACAGACCUCGAGUUUGAAGAGUCCAACAGACUGAAUCAUUGAUCUUGAGAGCAUCUUCAAACCACUACUGAAACUGGGAAAAAAAAGUCUGAUCUCUUUGCUAUUGCUAAGUGAUGUUUUCGUGUGUGGGUUCUAAUUUUCUAUACAUAACUUUGAGACGUGACAAGCCAGGCUGUUUCCCAAACACUGCAUCUGUGUACAAAGGAAAGAAUAAAGGAAAUUAGAUGGCACAGUUGUAGCAUGGCAUAUUAAAGUCUCUUUUAACUUACAGCUUUCAAUUUUACACUUGUAAAAAAAGUUAAUUUCAUUUUACACUUGUAAAAUAUUCUCAUACAGAAAGAUGCAAUGAAUACACAGAUUGUGACUAUCAUAUUUCAGAUGUGAGGUUCCUUGCAGGAGAAUAUGUUUAAAUUUAUAAUUAUAGGUUCUAAGUACUUUUGCCUCUAAAAUGGCAAGUGAGAAAUGGCAUUUCAGUCUGUUUUAAAUAAUUCAGGAUUUAAGGCACCAGAAGGCUACUAUUGAUGUUUGAUCUUGUCUUAGGUAUAAAGCAGGCAAUCUGCAACAGCUGUGACAUUAUAAUAAUAAAUAUAUUUGUAUUUUCACUCAAGCAUAACGCAUGGAAUAAUUUCUCUAGUAGUUAACUAAGACAGUAUCAUUAUGACCCACUAACCUUUGGUAUAUCUGAUAGCAUUAAAACAAUAAUGUUAUUGAGGCUGCAUCAGAGACUUCUUUUUGUGGCCUUUAGAUUGAAAUUAAUAGCAGUUUGGUGUGGUUUUACUAUUGAUUUUAAACCUAACAUAUCAAGGUGGUGCUACCCAUAGGAGGUCUACAGUGUUAGCAGUCUCAGAAUGGUUAAAGCAAUGAUCUGAUUUUCAUUUUGUGCAAUAUUACUGAUUCUUUGUGUGUUUUAGGCAGUGCCAUCCUUUCAUUUGCAACACAGAUUUAAUCCUGAUCUGAUAAUUUUAAUCUUUCAUACAAGAUGUUCAGCACUAUAUCAUCCAAGUGUAACUGCAAAUGUCACAACCAUUUAAGGGCCAAAAAGGUAUUGUCAUCCUUAUUGAUUUUAUUUUGAUAUUUUUACAGAAAUUCGGAACAGGCUAAGAAAAAAGUUAUUAAUUCUAAUCCAUAAUUGUUCUCUGGUAUUAACAAAACUACUUAACUGUAGUAAAGAGGUUCAAAUAUAUUAAAAAUUCUCUUAGUCAUCAGAACUAAAAAGGUAAUAGAUGGGAAACAACUGAUUUAAUAGAAGUCAGCCCAGAAGUCCAUUAAUAAUUCCUGGUCCAAAUUUGUCCAUAAACACUAAAACCAGUAAAAUGCACUGUAAAAACUGUAACAGAGAAGAUAAGAAAGAAGAAUAUCAAAAGAAAGUUCACAAAAUGGGAAUAAUUUUUAAAAAUUGUUUCUUAGUUUAGUUUUCAAUAUUAUCACUUUCAGUGGUGAGUCAUAACAUAAAAUGCAGCAUCUAUGACAGAAAAAUUAAUAUAAUUUCAGGUCAACUGAAUAUAUCACCUUAGUUAUCCAACAACAAACUACAAAUGACAUUUUUAAAAAUCAUCAACUUUCUUAACUUUGAGUCAGAUUACCAGAGCACUACUUUUCACCUGAUCUCAUUUUUCUCUUCCAAUUAUUGUUAAUCUUAGAGAGAUUUUUUUUCUUCAUUUUUUGGUUCAGGAUAUUGUAUUUUUGAAGCAAGGUAGAGCUACAUGAUAUGGAAUCUUGCCAGCUUCCGAUUAACAAUAAAAAUGUUAAGAGUAUUGGACUGUAAUAUAAUGAUAAGAUUAAACUGUGAAACAGGUUUGAUUAUAAAAGACCUCAUCUGAAAAAAAGGUAAUCCUGAUGUGAAAUGUUAUAUAUUACGGUUGAGAAGAAAUAAUAAACCAACUUAUACAUAUACUAAAAGUUAAAAUAUUCAAUUAUAUUUUAGAAGACAUUCUUAUCAGUGGAACACACUUGUUCUACCAAAAUAAAAGUUGCAUAAUUGGAAAUUAAAAA